AGAAAGCAAUCAGCUUGUAUCGUUCUUCCUUCUCUUCGCUGAUCGUGCUCAAUAAUACAAGUCAACAACCAUCUUUGUUUUUCUGUACAGUGUUACACGUGUGAUUGUGGAAACACGCGAACAGGGGGGAGUUUAACGAAUAAAAAUCAGGGAGGGUGGAGGGGUGCUAUCAAGGUUUGUUUGCUUAAUAUGGAGUUAGUCCCAGAAAAUGACAAGAAAUGGAUGAAAGAGUGCUUGUUGACGGUAAUUAUGUUUCGUUACUGUAACUGCUAUAAAGUACUAAUUUUAUAUAGUACCCUGCAGCUCAGCUACCUCUACAAAAUGUCACUGCUACCGCCUGUGCUAGGGGCUGCUGCCUGCCUUUUAUUAUUUAGGAGGGUGUUGUGAGUCGUGAUGAUCAAU